rnacentral:rRNA from 1 species
UACGAAGGGGGCUAGCGUUGCUCGGAAUCACUGAGCGUAAAGCGCACGUAGGCGGCUUUUUAAGUCAGGGGUGAAAUCCUGGAGCUCAACUCCAGAACUGCCUUUGAUACUGAGAAGCUUGAGUCCGGGAGAGGUGAGUGGAACUGCGAGUGUAGAGGUGAAAUUCGUAGAUAUUCGCAAGAACACCAGUGGCGAAGGCGGCUCACUGGCCCGGUACUGACGCUGAGGCGCGAAAGCGUGGGGAGCAAACAGG